AAUCAAUGACUUGCACUUUUCGCUUUUGUGCUUGUGUUUGUGCCACGUCCUCGUAGCUGUGCUUCAGAAAUUACUUCCAGUUGCCGGAAUCAAAUGUUUCUUUUGCAGUUCUAGUUGAUGUUAAGAGUCCUAAACAAAUCGAUAAACUUAUCGAUAAAUCUAUUCCCUUGCUUACAUCUACAAAUAAAAAACCUGCUCAAGGAUGCAGUCAACAUUUCUAGUUCCAGUUCCAGUUGAGAACCCAGUUGCUCAGAGGAAGCAAUAAACUAGGCGCGAUCGCUGAUCUGUCACGAUCUUUUUGCUCUGGACAGCAGCCCACAGGAGAAAGCAAUAAAACUGACACAGCAGAGAAAUGCGGAUUAUCAGCGUGUAGGAUCUGGCAGGCGAGCAUUUUAUGGCGCUGUGAAAGGUACCAUAACUGUUCUUGUGCCCUGUUACACAAUCGAAACACAAAACGAUUCAUAAUUCACAAAGAACAACAAACCACAAACAAACCCAAACAAACGAUUAAGCAAUAAAAGAGCGCAGAGUUCGAGUGUGCGAGCGAGACGGCAUUCGGCUGGAAAUUGGAGACAUUUCAGCUCCGGGAGCUGAGAGCCAGAUUUUUAUCAAACUGUGCGUGCUUCUGGAGAAAUGCAUAUAUGGUAGAUGCCCCCUCAAAGUGUUGCCUCUGCCCCUGCCCCUGCCCCAGCCCCUGGCUCUGGGGCGUAAUAAUUUUUAUUUAACCAGAUGAUGAACUGCAAGAUCAGCUUGAAGAUCACUUGAAAUGAAUUAGUUGGACUUUGGGGUCUUCCUUGAAGGAUCAGCAGGCCGGACUUGUGGAAAGGGUUUCCAUUUCAAUGGAGAUUUGUGGCAGGGGCAAAGCAUUGCUAUAAAUUCAAAUAUAAACAGGAUGUGAUCUUGUGAUCUUAUUUUUUGGAAUAGAAUUCUCGUUUGGAAAGUGAAGUGUAGUAUUUUUGAAUACAAAUUAAUGCAGACACUUUUA